AUGGAGCAGAGGGUUUUUAAAAACAGGGCCCAGGUGUUUUUCCUGGCCUGGAAACGCUGCCAGUUUUACUUCUUGCCACCCCUUUGAUCACCUUUGGAACAAGCAGGGGCUGUGAAGAGAACAGUCAGGCUCAGGCACCACCAUCCCUUGCCUUAGAAGUCUGGGUGUUACUGGGAGGUGCUGACCAAAUGGCGUCUGUGUGUUGGGGUGGUGGGGGGGCCUCCCUUCCUGGGGCCUCUCAGGAUGGGAGAGGACAGUGCUUUGUGGCGUGAAGGCACUGCGGAAGAGGAACAACGAGCCUACUCCUUGGGAAGCAGAUACGACCUGUGGGUCUGUCACACAUGGGCAACGAAACCUCUGUGUGUCCUCGCCCCUGGGGCUCACCUGCUGCAGGCCCCAUUCAUCACCCGAGAGUGAAAGAAAGGACAGAGCACAGCAUGGCCAGCGGGUAAUUAUGUUCCGCCAGGGGAUGAGGCCUGAAGAAAGUUUCCUUAGAAACCGAGGCCAGCAGCAGUCUUUCAGGUGUGCGUUCUGGGAGUAAAGGCCAGGAGCUUCUUGGAGGUAACCGGCACUGGCAACGAGCUUGGCAACCUCGAUAUGGCCAGUGCUAUGGAGCCGGAGGAACCAGGAGAAGCUUGCUGUGGAGAGGAGGCACCAGCAGAAGCCACCCCUGGUGCCCACGUCCCCAGCCACAGUGCCUUCCAUCCAGGGCUGAGGGCACCACAGUUAACAACGGGAAAGUGAAGGGACUUGGGGAACCCAAGCCCAGUGCUUAUGUGUGCUAAACAGUAGGGAUAAUGAGAGUGUGACAGGAAAAUAGAGACUUCCCAAUCCUAUUUAAAAGGUUGAUGGUUUUUAUUAUCUGAUUUUACAGGCU
rnacentral:lncRNA from 1 species